AACAGGGAUUGCCCCAGUAACGGCGAGUGAAGCGGCAACAGCUCCAAAUUUGAAAUCUGGUCCCUCUGGGGGCCCGAGUUGUAAUUUGAAGAGGAUGCUUUUGGCGAGGCGCCUUCCGAGUGCCCUGGAACGGGACGCCACAGAGGGUGAGAGCCCCGUAUGGUCGGACGCCGAGCCUAUGUAAAGCUCCUUCUACGAGUCGAGUAGUUUGGGAAUGCUGCUCAAAAUGGGAGGUAAACCCCUUCUAAAGCUAAAUACCGGCCAGAGACCGAUAGCGCACAAGUAGAGUGAUCGAAAGAUGAAAAGCACUUUGAAAAGAGAGUUAAACAGCACGUGAAAUUGUUGAAAGGGAAGCGCUUGCGACCAGACUUGCGCCCGUCGGAUCAACCGUCCCUCGUGGGCGGCGCACUCCGGCGGGCUCAGGCCAGCAUCAGUUUUCCGGGGGGGAGAAAGUCGGUCGGAAUGUGGCUCUUCGGAGUGUUAUAGCCUUCCGAGUAAUACCCCCUGGGGGACUGAGGACCGCGCUUUAUGCAAGGAUGCUGGCGUAAUGGUCGUCAGCGACCCGUCUUGAAACACGGACCAAGGAGUCGUCCUAAUAUGCGAGUGUACGGGUGUAAAACCCCUGCGCGUAAUGAAAGUGAACGGAGGUGAGAGCUUCGGCGCAUCAUCGACCGAUCCUGAUGUUCUCGGAUGGAUUUGAGUAAGAGCAUAUUGGGCCGGACCCGAAAGAAGGUGAACUAUGCCUGUAUAGGGUGAAGCCAGAGGAAACUCUGGUGGAGGCUCGCAGCGGUUCUGACGUGCAAAUCGAUCGUCAAAUAUGGCAUGGGGCGAAGACUAAUCGACCUCU
rnacentral:rRNA from 1 species